rnacentral:lncRNA from 1 species
AGUGUCCAUCCCCUACCCCCAGGGCAGGGAGAGGGGAUGCAGGGUCGUGCUGCUGGACCCAAGCCGUGAGUGCCCCUGGGUACCUGGUGGCUCUGAGUGGUUCUCUUAUAAACCAUCUGAGCUGGCUCAAAGGAGCUUCUGCUAAGUGGGGUGACAAAUGUCAUUCUCCAUUGGAAGAACAAGAUCCUCUGCCUGACACCUAAAAAAGCUCCCUAGUGUCACGAUUCCCCGUGGCUCCAAUCCAACCCUGGAGGCUUCAUUUCCUCCCUGUCCUCAGCUGCAAUCCCUGUACUCCACUCCCUUCCCCAAAACCCAUAAGCUGAGCUCUUUAGGGCAAGGGAUCUUUUCUGCCCUUUCCCCCACAUCCAGUAUGCCUAUCCCCUGAUGCAUCAGCCCCAACCCCACUUAGAGAACACCGUGGACACUGCACAGGCCAGCAGCACGUCGCCACCUGGCAUCCCGCAUCUGCCUCUUGAUGAGGCUACCAACAUCCCAGAGAGUGAAACUCAGGUACAACAUGAUAGAGGGGCAUGACUCAGCGUUUUCUCAAAGCAUUCUCUUAUGACUCAGCGUUUUCUCAAAGCAUUCUCUUUGUAUCUGUUUGCAUAUCUUGACAGUCUUCACUGAAGGGUGAGAUAAGGAAGAAAUUCACUUAAUGUGUCAAACGCCUAUUUGACUAAGUACAAUACCACUUCACAGUGCUUAUUAAGGAAGAUAAAUAAAAACUAAUUUUAAAAGGGUCAUAAAUGAAUAUAUACAAAUGACCAAAAAGUAUGCAAAAAAGUUCUUGUUUUCAUAAAUUAUCAGGGAAAUGCAUGUCAGAACCACAUUAAAAUACACCACACAUUCACCAGAAAGGCAAAAAAUAGACGAGAUCACACCAGGACUUAGACACGGUCGUAAAAUGCUGCAACCAUUUCAACUAUGGCCCACUCACUCCUGGAUAUUCAUCCAAGAGAAAUGAAAAGCUGGGAAGAGCACACACGAAUGUUCUGCCCAGGAGUGAUGGAUCUCUAAGCGUUAAGGACCGGGCCAGGAGCAUCCUGGCCUUCUCACUAGUUCAGGUGCGAAGCUAAUUCCAGAGGCACAGUCACACUUCUCAGCCCUCUCCAAGAAUCCUCUGGGAAAUCAGUUCUAUGUCAGUGUUUGGGGCCAAGAAUCAAAGUGACCAAGAUGCUCAGAACAAGCCCCGGACGGACGUUUUGAUGUGAAGAAAGGUCAGAGAGGUUGAAAAACUGUAGAAAGCAUAAAACCGCCCUGCCAAGUUUUGCAAAGGAGACCUGCAUCAGAAAUGAAAUUGCUGAGUCAGAAGAAUACCUCCAAAUUCUUUCUUCUUCACCUGUUGGGUCUUUAAUACAGAAAUUCAGUAGUUUGUUGAAACCCACAGUUUAC